GACGUAGGGGCCGAGCGUUGUCCGGAAUUACUGGGCGUAAAGCGCGCGCAGGCGGAUUGUCGCAUCAUCGGUGAAAGCCCCCGGCUCAACUGGGGAGGGUCACGCGAUACUGAUCGACUCGAAGGCAGGAGAGGGAAGUGGAAUUCCCGGUGUAGUGGUGAAAUGCGUAGAUAUCGGGAGGAACACCAGUGGCGAAGGCGACUUUCUGGCCUGUUCUUGACGCUGAGGCGCGAAAGCUAGGGGAGCAAACGGG
rnacentral:rRNA from 1 species